GUAUUGUAUGAGAGGGUGUUCAGUACUCUCCUGGGGAAGAAUUGAAGAGGCCGGGGAACCUAGCAACACCCGUGGUUGAGGGAGGCAUUGCCUCCUACUGAGGCAGGUUGCAAACUACCUUUC